rnacentral:lncRNA from 1 species
AAGGCAUUGAGGUAAUGACAGUUCAUGAAAACAUUUUUGAAGGUCACUUAGCAGUAGCUGGUUUCAUAUGCAGCUGGUAAUGCUGCUGUCAUCAAGUAUGAGGAGAAGCCCCCAAAACCGGCAUUUCAGAAUGGCUCAGGAUCCUUAUGUUUGAAGACUUUGGUACCCAGAGCUCAUGUACACUUACUAAAAACUCCUACAAAAGGUUCUUCAAGGAAAAAUCUCUUCACACCUUUUAAUGCAGGUGAGUGACCACUUUAAAUAUAGAUGGAGAAAAAGGAAUCUUUCUUUUGUAAUGUCAUAUUACCAUUAAAAUAUUUAGAUUUAUUUAUAGUGACUUUUCAUUGGUAUGCUUGCAAGUAGAUAUCAGGUUUGAGAUAUGAAUGACUGCUUAUGACAUGUACUGGCAUAGCAUUAAUCAGGAGCUUAGAUUUUUCUGUUCUCUUUUCUUUUGGACAUACAUCUUUUUUCUAAGACAAUAUGACGCUUCAACUGUUUGAACCACAAAUGAGAAUUAAAAUCUUUUGCCACUUGAGAAGCCAUACAGUUCACAUAAUGUAUUCAUUACAAAUCCUAUGUUAUAUGUAAUUGAUCAUAUUCCUUGGAUACUACCUACAUUCUCUUAUUUUAUGUGCACUUAGAAAAUAGUUCUGUGAACUCUAAAUCCCUUAAAUAUUAAACAGUAAGUCAGAAGAGAGAAAGGUAUGAUUGGCUCAUAUUGAUGUUCUGUGACCCUGUUAGACAUCAAGGAUGUAGUUGUGAGACCAAAAUGAGCAAAGGCCUUGACUUUGGGGAACUUACAGGACAAAGAACUGCACAAAAGAGCAGGAGUCAAAAUCUCAAUGAUUUCUAGAGAAGCAAGGCUCAGUGAUUUCUGUGCUCCUGGGGGAGGUCUUGAAUGAAGGAUGUGACCUAGGGAGGGAAAACUGAGCAGGAGUACAAGCUUAUGAGUGUCUUGUAUAAAGAAAAUAGAGUGGUACCCUUCAUUCAGGGAAUAACUAGUAUCUUUGCCCUACCAGAUGUAUUCAUUUUCCUCAGCUUAGAAGGGCAAAGAGGUGUGAAGGAAUUAUAUGAAACUUGUUAAUCUUUUUUAAGUUCUUAAAGCUAGAGAAAACUCCACCAUGCAGAAUGAUUUAAAUUCUAAACAUCCCCAAUACCCUGAGUUUGAAUAUAUAUGAUUAUUCAAAUGAAGUUUGAAAAACAGAAGUUGUUCUGUGUAGAUUUUGGUUUUUGUAUUCUUUUGUUUCACAUUUCUAGCACAGACUAAUAUUUAGGAGGAAAAAUAGGUAGCUAAUAUUCUGUACAAAAACUUUUUGUUGGAAAGCCAGUUACUCACUAUCAGAAAGCUGGAUCAUAUGGUAACUCUAUGUGUAACAGUUGGAGAAACUUCCCGACUGUUUUCCAAAGAACCUAUACCAUUUUCUGUAUCACCAGCAGUGUGUAAGGGUCCAAUUUCUCCACAUUCUUGCUAACACUUGCUUUUGUUUAUCUUUUUGCUUAUUGCCAGCCUACUGAUUAUGAAUCUGAUUACGGUUUUGUUUGCAUUUCCUUCCAUGCUAGUGAUGUUGAGCAUUUUUUCAUGUGUUUAUUGGCUAUUUUAAUAUCUUCUUUGAAAAAGUGUCUAUUCAAAUCGUUUGCCCAUUUUAAAAAAUUGGAUUACUUAUAAUGUUGAAUUGUAAGAGUUCUUUAUCUAUUCCAGAUAUUAGACCCUUAUCAGAGAUAGGUUUUGUGGAUAUUUUCUGAAGUUUUAAAAAAACUUUCUUGCUAGUAUCCUCUGAAGCAUAAAUGUUGUUAAUUUUGGUCAGAUCUAGUUCUUUUUUUCUCUUUAGUUUCUUAUUCUUUUGGUGAAAUAUCUCAAAAAACAUUGUCUAAUCCAAGGCUGUGAAGACUUAUGCCUCUACUAAGACUUGUACAGUUUUAACUCUGAAAGUAAUAUUUGAUGAAUUUCAAGUUAAUUUUUAUAUGGUGUGGAGUAGGGGGUCUAGAAUCAUUCUUUUCCAUAUGGACAUCCAGUUGUUAUAAAAACAUUUUCCCUAUUUGAAAUGUCUUGGCACCUUGGUAAAUAAUUGACUGUAAGCAUGAGGAGUUAUUUCUGUGUCCUAAAUUAUAUUCUACUGAUCUGUAUGUCUAUCUUUGCCAACUACAUACCGUCAUGAUUAUUUGAUGUAGUAAGUUUUGAAAUCAUGAAAUGUGAGUCAUCGAAAUUUGUUUUUUCAAGAUUCUUUUGGUUCUUCUGGGUCCCUUGAAUUCUCAUGAAUUUUAGGAUCAGCUUGUCAAUUUCUGUAAAGAAAUCAGCUGUAAGUUUGAUAGGAGUUGUAUUGAAUCUGUAUAUAGAUCUAUGGACUUUUGCCAUCUUAACAUUGUUAAGUAUUCCAUGCCUUAAGUAUAGGAUUUCUUCACAUUUAGUUAGAUCUUUAAUUUCUUUCAACUUUUCAAAAUAAGUUCUGAACACGUCUUUAUUAAGGCUUGUUUUCUUGUAGUGACUCUUCUGUACUUUGGCAGUUGUCAUUGAUUCUAGUAACAGUAAAAUGGCUGCUUAAAUAAAUCUGUUAUAUCUAUUUUAAUCUAUACUAAAUAUAAAACUUUGAAAGAUAAUCAAAAUUCAUGUCGAAAUCUGUGAUCAUGUCAACUAUGACAGGCAUAACAAAUAUUAAUCCUCAAUAUAUCACCUUUCUCUACUGCAGAGAAAAGCUGUAGCAUUAGACAGUUUCCCUUGUUAGAUUGUUGCACUGACAUUUUUCCUUAUUUCAGUGAAUCUUGACAGGUAAGAUUCAUCAAAUGGUAGAUUAACUCCGAAUUAAGUGAGAAAAGAAAUGGAAAGUACUAAUCAUGACAUGGAUUUAACAAAACCUUUGACCAUGAUGUAGAAAUAGGGUAUAUGACAUAGUUCUAGAAUUUCUGUCUCCAAUUAGUCACUAACUUUUUAACAUAAUUUUAAUUAGUGCACUAAUUUUUGCAACAGAAAAGAACAUAUUUUAAGGAGUCUGCAGUAUAGAUUAAUUUAGAUUCUGUGUUAAGGCCCUAUAUUUUCCUAAAAAUCAUAAGCAUGGCUCUUCCAGGUUCUUUGACUUGGUGGUUGGUUAUCAUCAUGGUUUAAGACUGAAUGGUAUCAUGAUGAGCCUAAUGAGAAAAAUAGCACUUUAAGGUGGCUUUUGGAGGAACAACUUUGAUGCUAAGAAUGAUGUCCAAGUAGCCAGUGACUUUGGGUGCAUCUCCAAGCCAUCAAUUUCUGUGUAAUUGGAAAUGUUCUAAGUUUUUCCUUCACUAUGAUAGUCUAUAACUGAGUCACCUUGACUUUCUUUAUAGUCUGCUGGCAAACAGGCAUAUUUUAGAUGGCAAAAAAUAUAUUGCUUCUAUGGACAAACAUUUUCCUUUGAGCAUUCAAUUUGAAAUCAUUUUACUAUAGCAUUGAGAUCAUUUAAUUUUUUAAAGAGCAAACAGUGGUGAAGGUUAUAGUUGGCCAACUUAAUAUCCUUUAAUUUUAGUAGCAUUUUACCAAAUUGCAGAAAGUUCAGCACAUAGAGGUUUUGAAAUCACACUUUAGGGCCUUUUUGUUUCUUGUUUUUGGCAGUGGUGGUGGCUUUUGCAAGAGUGGGGAUUGAACCUAGGAUCUUUCCAUUGAGCUACAUUCCCUGCUUUUUAUUUCGAGACAGAGUCUUGCUCAGUCACUAAGUUGCCCAAGUGAGACUCAAACUUGGGAUCAUUCUGCCUCAUCUUCCCUUUAGUUUUUUAAAUUUAUAACUUUAAAUAAAAUUCAGAUAUCUGUAUAUAUCUUUAUCAUUUAACAUAUAGUGAUCACUUUUCAUAAUGGUUGUAUCUAUCACAUGCAGUAACAUUUAACCACACGUCUUGAAUAUUUGGUAUAUUUCUGUUUUAUAUUCAUGAGUGAUUCUAUGAUCAGCAUAUUUAUAAUUAGCAUUUUCAAAGUUUGGGGAAGUUGUUUUUAACUGUAUAUCCUUUUAUUGGUACAUUUUGGGUAUACAGUAUAAUGACAUUCAUAAUUGGAAAUUUGCACCUUUACAUAAUCUCCUUGGUUCUUAUUUUUCCCCCUUCCCCUGGCCCCCUCUUCAACCCCUUCAUCCCUUCUCAUUUACAAAGACUUUGUUUCCUUUUAUUCAUUUUUUCAUAUUAAUUCCAUUCCCCUCCUUCCUCACUCCUACCCCUCCCAUUCCCCUUUGCCCCUUUUCUUCCUAUUUCACAGUAUCUGUUACACCUUUUCGUCC